rnacentral:rRNA from 1 species
CAGUAGCCGCGGGAAUACGAGGGGGGCAAGCGUUGUUCGGAAUUAUUGGGCGUAAAGGGUGCGUAGGCGGCUUGACAAGUCUUGUGUGAAAUCUAUGGGCUCAACCCAUAGUCUGCACGGGAAACUGUCGGGCUUGAGAAUGGGAGAGGUGAGUGGAAUUCCCAGUGUAGAGGUGAAAUUCGUAGAUAUUGGGAAGAACACCAGUGGCGAAGGCGGCUCACUGGACCGACACUGACGCUGAGGCGCGAAAGCGUGGGGAGCAAACAGGAUUAGAUACCCCAGUAGUCCCUGUCUCUUAUAC